GUCGGCGCAGCUAGCUACCCUCUUUCGCCACAGUAUUAUGUAGGCACACAAUGAUCGUUACAUACAAGUAUCCGUCAUAUCCAUGCACCAAACCCAGAUGAAUGUGUAGGCUAGGCCUAGAAGAAUUUCAUAAUCGUGGACUCGGAGUCAAGGAUGGUGAAAUCCUAACAAUUUUCGACACGGACUUUGGUGAAUACAUCACAUACAGUCCUGAAUAUGAAGUAUCAGCCCUGGACAAGUUGAAAAUUGGUGUGGCUUUGAAAAGAAGCCUCCAGAGAAAAUCACUGAUCUCUUAGCAAAGAGAAAGAAAAAAAAAAGUGAGGGAAGUCCUCUGCAACAAAACAGGCGUGCUGAGCAGAUUUGACAGAAUCUGCUCAGAAUCCCAUGCUGGAGAUUCUGACAGAAUCCCAUGAUGGAGUCAGGUCCAGCAAAGGAGGGGGUACAAGAUACUUGACCGUUUCUACCAACUCCUCAUACUCCGAGCUUUGCAAAAAAGGGUCUGGAUGCAUUUUUUUUCCUCUGGAAAAUCAGCCCAAGGACCAAGAUCAGGCUUCAAGUUGGACGGACUAGGCACAUUUCAACAACUGUUGGCAGAAGCAGAGCCGUGUACUCUUGUGAGAAGCUCAACUUCAGAAGAGUCUGAAGGAGAACAUGGCAGUGAGGUCAUCGAAACCCCCGCAAAACAACAAGCUCUAUCUUCCAACUAUUCUGAGUCAUUGCCGAAUGUGGAUUUGACACCUCCAUGGAAUUUCCAG
rnacentral:lncRNA from 1 species